rnacentral:lncRNA from 10 species
CAUGGAUGGGGCAUGGAAAUAGACCUGCCUACAUUGAGCCCAGUGCUGCUCUCUGUGCAAUGGAUCUUGAGAUGGUGUCUCAUCUGUAUGUUGCCCAGGCUGGUCUUGAACUCCUGGGCUCAAGUGAUCCUCCUGCCUCGGCCACCCAAAGUGCUGGGAUUAUAAGUGUGAGCCACCGAAGCUGGCCUAAAUCAGAAGACUCUGAAUAAAGAAGAUGACCCAUGAUAAUGCAGUUUCUGGCAGCCUCCAGUUCCUCCCAGGCCCCAGUGCAGACAUCUCCAUGCAGCGCCCCUGCUGCCUGCUCUCUGGGGAUCUGACGGCCGGGCUCAGCAUGGACUCAAGCCACCAGCCCUGAUCCCCCUGGAGAUCAGGGAGAGGCCCUGGCAGCUCCACCUCUCCAGGGCUCCACGGACCUGGGACCAGCCACCCAGGGACACGCGGCGGAGUCCCCUGUGGAUCCCUCCAGACACGCGGCGGAGUCCCCUGUGGAUCCCUCCGGACACGCGGCGGAGUCCCCUGUGGAUCCCUCCGGACACGCGGCGGAGUCCCCUGUGGAUCCCUCCGGACAUGCGGCGGAGUCCCCUGUGGAUCCCUCCUGGCACGCGGUGGAGUCACCUGUGGAUGGAUCCCUCAUGGUACAUGGCAGAUCCCCCUGUGGAUCCCUCAUUAGACUCCAGGUUCAUUCAUCCUGCAUAACUGUAACUUUCACCCUUUACCUCUGCUGAGGUCCAGGAUGUUCAUCCUAGCCUCCUUCUCAUUCCCCUUAUGUACAUUCUUGUUAUUCUGCAUUGAUGAGUCUGAUUCUCUUUUCCUACCACUUCAUCACACCCUGUUCUUUCCUUUUUCUCUAAGCCCACCCUGUUCUCUGUCAUCAAAAACUUCUUAGUUCAUUUUCCCCUAGAUUUCUUGCAUCCUACUCUUUCUGUCUACUGAGGCCUUCAUAUCAGCCAGGAAUCCCCAUCCCAAAAGAGGCCUCUCUCACCCUGACAGCUUCCGGGAGACCCACAGGCUGCACCCCACUCCCUCCCGUGGUUCCUGGAGGGUGGCCUGCCCCCUCUUUGCAAGUCCUCACCAACCCUGACGUCUUGAACUCCUUGAAGUCAGGGUCACAAGUCUCUUGAAACUGCCCUUUAAAGUUUGCUGGUGGCCUCGUGCUCAUCAGACCCAGAGGAGAGCUCCCUCUGUUGAUGAGAUUUGCCAUGGGGUCCAUUCCUCCUGCCCCUUCAGAGACACGCUCGGCUCCCUGGCUUCCCCAGCCCUCACCUACCUCUGCGUGCGGCUUCCUUGUCUCAGCCUUCUCUUCCCUCCUGGGGUCUCUCCCAGAAGCCUGCCCCAGCCUCCCUCCUUUCCCACUCUGUACUCCCUUCAGACGACCUCGUGCUUCACAGGGUUUAAAUCCUUCUUCUGGGCAGGUGUGUGCCACACCCCAUGGGUGUUCCUAGACAGUCUCCUCUGCAUUCAUUCUGGAGGUCCUGCAUUCUGCUUCCUGAAUCUUAGAAUCUGGAAUCUUUAGCCACAAACUCAACUUUCCAGAACCAACAUUACCUACAUCUUCUAUGAAUGGACCUUAUCCUGAUAUCUAUAUUUUUGUCAACCAGUCUGACAACUUGCCUUCUCUCUCAAGCUGAAAAAGGAGGCUCAUCUUUGAUUCUUGUCUCUCACGUCUACAUUCGAGGAGAAGCCAUGUCUUAUCUGCCAUCAGUUCUACCUUGAAACAUUUCCAGAUUUCACUUCCUUCUCUCUCCUCAAUGCCACCAGCUUGUGCCCCACAUUCCUCCCAGGCAGCUUUCCAUUGGCAAGGCCCCUGCUAUUUGACUCCGGACCACAAGAUCUGGGAGCCGCAGUGGAGUGGAGGGAGGGUGUAUUAGUUCAUUCUUGCAUUGCUAAAAAGGAAUACCUGAGACUGAGUAAUUUAUAAAGAAAAGAAGUUUAAUUGGCUCACAGUUCUGCAGGCUGUACAGGAAGCACAGUGCUGGCACCUGCUCAGUGUUUUGGGGAGGCCUCAGGAAACUUGCAAUCAUGGUGG